rnacentral:rRNA from 1 species
CCUACGGGAGGCAGCAGUGGGGAAUAUUGGGCAAUGGGCGCAAGCCUGACCCAGCAACGCCGCGUGAAGGAAGAAGGCUUUCGGGUUGUAAACUUCUUUUAAGAGGGAAGAGCAGAAGACGGUACCUCUUGAAUAAGCGACGGCUAACUACGUGCCAGCAGCCGCGGUAAUAGGUAGGUGGCAAGCGUUGUCCGGAUUUACUGGGUGUAAAGGGCGUGUAGCCGGGCUGACAAGUCAGAUGUGAAAUUCUGGGGCUCAACCCCGGACCUGCAUUUGAAACUGUUGGUCUUGAGUGUCGGAGAGGCAGGCGGAAUGCCUAGUGUAGCGGUGAAAUGCGUAGAUAUUAGGCGGAACACCAGUUGCGAAGGCAGCCUGCUGGACGACAACUGACGGUGAGGCGCGAAAGCGUGGGGAGCAAACAGGAUUAGAUACCCGGGUAGUC